rnacentral:rRNA from 1 species
UACAGAGGUCUCGAGCGUUGUUCGGAUUCAUUGGGCGUAAAGGGCGCGUAGGCGGCGGGGUAAGUCAGGUGUGAAAUCUCGGGGCUCAACCCCGAAACUGCACUUGAUACUGCCUUGCUCGAGUACUGGAGAGGAGACUGGAAUUUACGGUGUAGCAGUGAAAUGCGUAGAUAUCGUAAGGAAGACCAGUGGCGAAGGCGAGUCUCUGGACAGUUACUGACGCUGAGGCACGAAGGCCAGGGGAGAAAACGGG